UAAGGAAUAUUGGGCAAUGGACGCAAGUCUGACCCAGCCAUGCCGCGUGCAGGAUGACGGCCCUAUGGGUUGUAAACUGCUUUUGUACGGGAAGAACCCCUUCGAUUCUUCGGAGGCUGACGGUACUGUACGAAUAAGCAUCGGCUAACUCCGUGCCAGCAGCCGCGGUAAUACGGAGGAUGCAAGCGUUAUCCGGAUUUAUUGGGUUUAAAGGGUGCGCAGGCGGAAUGGUAAGUCAGUGGUGAAAUCUCCCGGCUCAAUCGGGAAACUGCCGUUGAUACUGCCGUUCUAGAGUACAGUUGGGGUGGGCGGAAUGUGUCAUGUAGCGGUGAAAUGCUUAGAUAUGACACAGAACACCGAUCGCGAAGGCAGCUCACCAAGUUGUAACUGACGUUCAUGCACGAAAGCGUGAGGAUCAAACAG
rnacentral:rRNA from 1 species